CGCCACGAAAGCCCAGGUCACCUUUUUCUCCCUGUAACGCAUAGAAGAAUGUAAACACACAAACACAUAUGCCCAGGACCUGGUGGGCCUUGAAGACCCCUUUCACCCUUCUCUCCUUUGGCACCAGAACAGCUAGCUCCUUCUAGGAGCCAAAUAAAAUCAAAAGAUGGCAUUUGGAUGUCAAUGAGAUCUAAGGGGAAGGAAAUAUGUGGAAACAGCAGCCUCUUUUGGCCAUCAGGAAUAAAAUACAGUGUUUGCAUAUUUU